GAUGAACGCUGGCGGCGUGCCUAAUACAUGCAAGUCGAGCGAACGGACGAGAAGCUUGCUUCUCUGAUGUUAGCGGCGGACGGGUGAGUAACACGUGGAUAACCUACCUAUAAGACUGGGAUAACUUCGGGAAACCGGAGCUAAUACCGGAUAAUAUUUUGAACCGCAUGGUUCAAAAGUGAAAGACGGUCUUGCUGUCACUUAUAGAUGGAUCCGCGCUGCAUUAGCUAGUUGGUAAGGUAACGGCUUACCAAGGCAACAAUGCAUAGCCGACCUGAGAGGGUGAUAGGCCACACUGGAACUGAGACACGGUCCAGACUCCUACGGGAGGCAGCAGUAGGGAAUCUUCCGAAAUGGGCGAAAGCCUGACGGAGCAACGCCGCGUGAGUGAUGAAGGUCUUCGGAUCGUAAAACUCUGUUAUUAGGGAAGAACAUAUGUGUAAGUAACUGUGCACAUCUUGACGGUACCUAAUCAGAAAGCCACGGCUAACUACGUG
rnacentral:rRNA from 1 species